UCAGAUCAGUAGGCUCUGACUGCUUCUAAAGCUAAACAGCUGCAUGGGGGCCUUAAUGAUUAAACCUUAGAAUAUUAGGUGGCCUCAUGUUCUUGCUAAUUUGAUUUUAAUAUUCUGUUUUGUGCAUCACACUGAACCUGAUGUUUCCAGCUAACUACAGAAGAACAGCAUGAGGAGGAAGGGAGGCUUCUGCAGAGAGGGCAGCCUUGUGCCUCUUGGCGGUUGAAGCACUUGAAGGACGCGGUGGAGCAGCUCUCCUGAUGCAUUGAUUUGCUUUCAGAAGAAAAAUGCGAUAGACCACCUGCAGAAGGACAGAGUGCAGUUACCUGUGAAGGGAUGAUAGAGCUGUGCAAUACUGAAGAAGCGUUCAGAAGACUUCUCAGCAACAAGCUGGAGCCAUCAGCCAGGAGAAAGGGGCUGAGGCCGGUGUGGAUGCAGCCCCAUGAGGACCCUGCUACCAGAGUGCCUUUGGUGGGGUACACGCCUCUCGGAGCUAGACCAUUACGAAGAGAGACCUCCAGUCACCUUCAGUCACCUCCAGCCUCUUGUAACAUCUGGCCUGGGCAUCAGAACAAUCUAAUUCAAGAGAGAACAUCCAUGUUCAUCCCAUGACACCUUAGCCUUUGGAGAGAUGCUUCAACAAAAAGCAUCUGUUGUCCUGUGCCUUGGGAUGCUGCAGGCACUGAGGGGAUGCAGUGUCACUCUCCUUUACGCAUAGUGUUGGUCUGAGGCAACCACUUCACUUUCCUGAUUUGUCUGCAAAUAAGAGAAGGGCAAAAACAUUUUAGUUUGCCUGCUUACAGACCAGUCGCAGGGAAAGACUGGUCCUGCUGCUCCAGCUCUCCUGACUUCCAGAGGAUCACACAUGGGUGAGAUCAAGACCUAUCAUGGUGGAGGGGAAGCCCUUCAGGUAACCCGGAGCCUUCUAGCAGCCAGAAAAACACCUUGUCCUGGAAAGGGUCCAGCUCCGUGCAGGCCUGCAGCUCCUGCCCCAACAGAGCUGCUGCCAUGGUCCUCAGUGCCCACCUGUGCCAGGGGAUGCCCCAGCAAAGAAGACCACCACAUCUGAGAUACUUGAUCCAUGCAGGCAAACCGUGCUGAAGAAGGGAAAAACCAGAAGGGGGAGAACAUUUAGGAACUGCAAGGAAACCAUGAUAGAAGGCAAUCAAGACCAGAUUCUAAAAGCUAGAAAAAUGGAAAAAAAAAUGUUUUCAAGACUGGAAAGCUUCUGAAAUAAUGGAGGACACGCAGGAAAAAAAAAAAAAAAAAAAAAAACUCAGAGCAAAAAGGCAAAGGACUAGAAAAUACAUUCAGACUGUUAGUUUGGGUUUUCAAUAACAGAAUAGCAAAUUGGUCAUUGCUUUUGGUAUAAUACCAUCUGUCAGUAUAUACAUAUACAUUUAAAAUAGCUUGUGUAUUUCACCCUUCAUAUGUUCUUCUUUAGAGCUGUGCAUUUUCAAUCUAAGGACUUCAAAGCAUUGGGUAAAAGCUACCUCAUUUGUAAUGCCCAAGGAAAGAUGCAACAGGCAUAUGAGUAGUAGUUGACCCACCUAGGUCUGCCCUGGCUGAUCUUUAUAGUUCCUUCUGGUUUUGUAUCUCAUCGAAAGGUUCUUGUUUUAUUUUAUGUCACAGUACCAAAUGUAAUUCUUGCUGUGGGAACGUAUGGUCAAUGAGAUCUCUUCUUCUUUCACCACCCCAGUGAUGUCUUUGGUGAGGGAAGUUUACCUGUAGAGGUAAUAUAAAAAUAAUAUUUUUGGUGAUUUUUUUUUUCCCAAUGUAAUAUAAUGUAAUUCUGUUUUCAAUCAACUGCUGUUGGUCCUUUUUGGAUAUUUCCCAGCAACCCUAUGCCAAGUCCCAAAAAUGUCUCAGGGCAGGAGUUAAUAUUCUCCCAUUUGUUUGACAAAUAACAGUCAGAAGUCGUUGGACGAAUCUUCCAAAGCAGUUUACCAAACCAGGAGAACUGAAAACAACUCAUUCCCGAGAGGAUUUUGAUUUUGGCUUUAAAAACGUAACAAGAGAUUUUUGUUUUCAGUUUUUCCAGGGCAAGGAUAUUCAGUCCAAAAAAAAUAGAUAAGAAACUAAAACACAACUAAUGUCCUUAAGAAGUCAACAGUCACAUCAAAAUGUAUGGCUAACUCAGCUCUUGAUUAACGUCACGUGAAACUCAUGGCUCCAUAACUAAGAGCUCUGGGCAAAAGCCGAAAACUUUCUAGAGGUGUUGCCAGCUGUUUUGUAAACGCCAGAAAAAAGUGCACUUUUCCCAGAUGAGGCAGCAGCAUGUCUGCUAGUCACAGAAGUGCUUACAAUUCAGAAGUGUCUAUUUAUGUUGCCCUGUGACUAAUUGCAUUAUACAUACCUUGCAGGGACCAGGCAGCAGCUCCACACCCUGUCAUCUCUCUGUAAAUCACAGUGCUCAAAACUGAAAAACCCUUUUCUUACUGUUUCUUUCUUUAAAUGAAGUUGAUUUCUUUUUUUUUUUUUUUUAAGUAAGAAUAAAUACUUUUUUUGAGUAAGAACAAAAUAUGAAGUGAGAGAGAACUGAAGUGGAGAUGGUCUGGAGCCACAGGCUCAGACAGUUUAGAGCAAAACUAAACUGCUGGAUAUAGAGGAGAAAAUUAUGGUUUGCAAUGGGCAAAAGAAUCUGGUUCACUGAGGUCACCCAAGUCAGGUGAUGUUCCAGUACCAUGAAAAAGGGUCCUUGUGCUAAUGGCCAUGAAAGUCCUCACUCAAAGCUGAGGUUUGGGAUGGGUGUUCCAGGACUCUCUCCCCUUCUCCCCAUUGCCAAGCCACUCGUUUGAGGCUCAAGCCAGUCUACCUUUACAAAAUACUACAAUUUUGGAAAAGGUCCAGAAAGACAAUGAGAAAAACUGCUGAAGAGAAUAAAAGUAGGUUUUUCUUUUUUCUCGGGCUAUUAUUUACUUAGCCAUUCACAGGACUAUGUCAGUGCUACGGGAAUACACAGGACUUCAUGUGUGAAUACCUUUUUUGGGCUC